UACGGGGGGGGCAAGCGUUGUUCGGAAUUACUGGGCGUAAAGGGCGCGUAGGCGGCCUGCUAAGUCGAACGUGAAAUCCCCGGGCUCAACCUGGGAAUGGCGAUGGAGACUGCAAGGCUAGAGUUUGGCAGAGGGGGGUAGAAUUCCACGUGUAGCAGUGAAAUGCGUAGAUAUGUGGAGGAACACCGAUGGCGAAGGCAGCCCCCUGGGUCAAAACUGACGCUCAUGCACGAAAGCGUGGGGGAGCAAACAGG
rnacentral:rRNA from 1 species